rnacentral:misc_RNA from 1 species
AUUGCCUGCUGGUGCCAACUGGAACUUUGAUGUACACUGGUAUCCAAAGAUACCAGGAGUUAUCUCAGCAUCUUCUUUUGAUGGAAAGAUAGGCAUUUACAACAUUGAGGGUUGCAGUGCUGGGGAGAGUGAUUAUGGAGCAGUCACACUAAGAGCUCCAAAAUGGUAUAAACGUCCAGCUGGGGUGUCUUUUGGCUUUGGAGGAAAGCUUGUAUCAUUUCACCCUGGGUCAUCUGCUGCAAGUGCUUCUGAGGUCCUUUUGCAUGACUUAGUUACAGAGCACAGUUUGGUGAGCCGUUCAUCUGAAUUUGAAGCCGCCAUGCAAAAUGGGGAGAAGUCAUCACUAAAAGCAUUAUGUGAGAAAAAGUCUCAACAGUCUGAAUCUGAGGAUGACCGUGAAACUUGGGGCUUCUUAAAGGUUAUGUUUGAAGAAGAUGGGACAGCAAGGGUGAAGAUGCUUACCCACCUUGGUUUCAGUGUACCUGUUGAAGGGAAAGAAGAUGUACAGAAUGAUAUCUCUCAACAAAUAGAUUCCAUUCGACUUGAUGAUACAACUACAGAUAAAGUGGGAUAUGAGAGUGUUAAAGAGGCCACUGUUUUCUCUGCAGAUGAUGGGGAAGAUUUCUUUAACAAUCUCCCAAGCCCCGCUGAUACACCUAAAUUUACUUCUACCAAUAACAUUGGAGCUGGGAAUUCUGCUCCGUAUGCAGAAGAAAUAAAACAAGAACCAGAUGUGCUGGAGGAGAGUGCUGAUCCGUCAUUUGAUGAUAGUAUUCAGUGUGCUUUGGUUGUUGGGGACUACAAGGGUGCUGUUGCACAGUGCAUAACUGCAAAUAAAAUCGCUGAUGCUUUAGUUAUUGCUCAUGUUGG